rnacentral:rRNA from 1 species
AGAGUUUGAUCCUGGCUCAGGACGAACGCUGGCGGCGUGGAUUAGGCAUGCAAGUCGAACGCGAACGAUUUCCUUCGGGUAAUCAAGUAGAGUGGCGGACGGGUGAGUAACGCGUAGGUAAUUUACCUUUAAGUGGGGGAUAGCCCGAAGAAAUUCGGAUUAAUACCGCAUGUGGAGCUUCGGUUCUAAAGGUGGCCUCUGUUUCAAGCUAUCGCUUAGAGAUAAGCCUGCGUCCUAUUAGCUAGUUGGUGUGGUAAAGGCAUACCAAGGCGAUGAUAGGUAGGCGGCCUUAACGGGUGGUCGCCCACACUGGGAUUGAGAUACGGCCCAGACUCCUACGGGAGGCAGCAGUCGAGAAUAGUCUACAAUGGACGAAAGUCUGAUAGUGCGACGCCGCGUGGAUGAAGAAGCAUUUCGGUGUGUAAAAUCCUUUUCUUUGUGAGCAAUGCCAUCAAGAUUAAUCGUUUUGGUGGAGGGAUAUUAGCAGAGGAAUAAGCUCCGGCUAACUCCGUGCCAGCAGCCGCGGUAACACGGGGGGAGCAAGCGUUGUCCGGAAUUACUAGGCGUAAAGGGUAAGUAGGCGGAAUUGUAAGUCAGAUGUUAAAGGCGUCAGCUCAACUGGCGUAUGGCAUUUGAUACUGUAAUUCUAGAGUAAGGUGGGGGAAGACAGAAUUCCUGGUGUAGCGGUGGAAUGCGCAGAUAUCAGGAGGAAUACCAGAGGCGAAGGCGGUCUUCUAUACCAUUACUGACGCUCAAUUACGAAGGUGUGGGUAUCGAACAGGAUUAGAUACCCUGGUAGUCCACACAGUAAACGAUAUACACUAGGUGUUGGGGGAGAUGAUCUUUCAGUGCCGCAGCUAACGCGUUAAGUGUAUCGCCUGGGGAGUACGAUCGCAAGGUUAAAACUCAAAGGAAUUGACGGGGCCCCGCACAAGCGGUGGAGCAUGUUGUUUAAUUCGAUGCAACGCGAAGAACCUUACCUGGGCUUGACAUCCCGGGAAUCCUUGAGAGAUCGAGGAGUGCCCCUUCGGGGGAACCCGGUGACAGGUGCUGCAUGGCUGUCGUCAGCUCGUGUCGUGAGAUGUUGGGUUAAGUCCCGCAACGAGCGCAACCCCUAUCUAUAGUUGCCAGCGAUUCGGUCGGGGACUCUAGAGAGACUGCCAGUGUAAUAAACUGGAGGAAGGUGGGGACGACGUCAGGUCAUCAUGGUCCUUAUGUCCAGGGCUACAAACGUGCUACAAUGGUCGGUACAGAGGGUUGCGAAGCCGUGAGGUGGAGCUAAUCUCAGAAAGCCGGUCUCAGUUCGGAUUGGAGUCUGCAACUCGACUCCAUGAAGUUGGAAUCGCUAGUAAUCGCGUAUCAGCAUAACGCGGUGAAUACGUUCCCGGGGCUUGUACAC